GUUCUGUAGAUGUCUAUUAUGUCCAAUUGGUCAAAUGUCGAAUUUAACUCCAGGAUUUCUUUGUUAGUUUUCUGCCUUGAUGAUCUAACUCUGUCAAUGGGAUGUUGAAGUCACCCACUCCCAUGGUGUGGCUAAGUAUUUUUAUCUUUCUCCUACCCUUUACCUUGAGUCUAUCAGUGUCAUCACGUGUAAGAUGGGUCUCUUGAAGACAGCAGAUGGUUCUACUCCUGAGUGCUCCCUUCAGCCUACUCCACGAAGUGAUGACAACUUUAAUUAAUAUUCCCUCUCCAAAUCCCUUCAACAUUUACCUGAUGCUGGGUUGUAAUCCAUCAGUUUGUCUGGAAUGUGACAUGGAGAUACGGAGUCCUGGAAGACUGACCUGGGGCCCAAACAUGAUCCUCAAACCAGUUUGUUGUUUGAAUUUCUUCUCAGCCCUCUUUAACAUCAACCCAGCUCUCUCUGACCUACUGAAGGGUCAACCUCAAGAAACCAACUCCAACUGAUGGCCAUCCAUAGAAUACAUAGCUCUUCAGGGAGCUUUCAUGCCAUUACUGCCUCACUCUCAUACUUCCGUUUAAGCCUCCGAGAUUCAAAAUAAUUAGCCUCUACUGCUGCCAACAUGUCCAGGGAAAAAUAACCAGAGGGACUAGAAAAUGAGUAUGCCACAGAAGAAAUCAAGAAAAUGUUUCUAACAAAAUACAAACUUUGGGCAUGUAAGUUUGGAGAGUCAUCUAAGAAGAAAGAAAAUUAAUUCAAGCAAGACUAAAUCUCAUGGUUGCCAAGAUGAUUUUUUUCAUUAUACUUUAAGUUCUGGGAUACAUGUGCAGAACGUGCAGGUUUGUUACAUAGG